rnacentral:rRNA from 1 species
AUUGAACGCUGGCGGCAUGCUUUACGCAUGCAAGUCGAGCGGCAGCGCGGGGGCAACCCUGGCGGCGAGCGGCGAACGGGUGAGGAAUACAUCGGAACGUACCCCGGAGUGGGGGAUAACGCCGCGAAAGCGGCGCUAAUACCGCAUAUGCUCUGAGGAGGAAAGUGGGGGACCUGCAAGGGCCUCACGCUCUGGGAGCGGCCGAUGUCCGAUUAGCUAGUUGGUGGGGUAAAGGCCCACCAAGGCGACGAUCGGUAGCUGGUCUGAGAGGAUGAUCAGCCACACUGGGACUGAGACACGGCCCAGACUCCUACGGGAGGCAGCAGUGGGGAAUUUUGGACAAUGGGGGCAACCCUGAUCCAGCCAUGCCGCGUGAGUGAAGAAGGCCUC